GUAAAAUCCACACUGAUCCCGAAGCAGCUGCCGCCGGCGCCCUCAGGGAAGGGGUGAGCCACCUACAGGAUCGACUGAGGAUCAGAUUCAAAACCGUGUUGCUCCUUAUCCAGCUGAUAAUUUAAGCACAGGCAGCCUGAAGACACAGGGAAAGGUCAGGUGGUUGGGUAGAUCUGUGCCCGGUUCCGUCAGCCGAAAGCUGAGCCAGCUUUUGAUCUGCAAGGAACGACCACGCAUGCGUGGGUUUGUUUCCGGGCUCCCUACUCUCUUCCAUUCGUCUGUGCCCACCGUGUGCGGGAGGGUUGAACUCAGUGUGCUGGCUGGCAGGGCUCGACGUGCGCGUGUGUACAAGUCAGCUGAGGCUCGUGGUGGCACCCUGCCCUCUGACAAACCAGCGGGUUCCUCUUCUGGCCGAGAGAAUUCGCUUGAGUUCCAAGAAAAGCUCCAAGUGCAAGGUACGCUGAUCGCCAGGGUACCGUUGUGAUAUUUCCUUUCCGAAGUGCCCUCCUGUACGUGACCUGAUUGCACCCUCACUGCAGCCCUUCGAGGCAGAUGCCGAUCUGCCCAUUUUACAGACCACGAGACUGAGGCCUGUGGAGGUUCCGUGAGGCGCC
rnacentral:lncRNA from 1 species